CACCUACGGGGCGCAGCAGUGAGGGAUAUUGGUCAAUGGGGGAAACCCUGAACCAGCAACGCCGCGUGAGGGAAGAAGGUUUUCGGAUUGUAAACCUCUGUGGAGGGGGACGAUAAUGACGGUACCCCUUUAGGAAGCCACGGCUAACUACGUGCCAGCAGCCGCGGUAAUACGUAGGUGGCGAGCGUUGUCCGGAAUUACUGGGUGUAAAGGGAGUGUAGGCGGGAAAGCAAGUCAGAAGUGAAAACUAUGGGCUUAACCCAUAGCCUGCUUUUGAAACUGUUUUUCUUGAGUGAAGUAGAGGG
rnacentral:rRNA from 1 species